rnacentral:rRNA from 1 species
AAGGAAGCGAUUCCGGCGGGGGAUGGGCAUGCGGCGCAUUAGCUAGUCGGCGGGGUAACGGCCCACCGAGGCGACGAUGCGUAGGGGUUCUGAGAGGAAGGUCCCCCACACUGUUACUGAUACACGGACCAGACUCCUACGGGAGGCAUCAGUGAGGAAUAUUGGUCAAUGGGCGGGAGCCUGAACCAGCCAAGUCGCGUGAGGGAAGACGGUCCUACGGAUUGUAAACCUCUUUUGCCGGGGAGCAACGGGGUCCUUGCGAGGGCCCUAUGAGAGUACCCGGAGAAAAAGCAUUCUGCUAACUCCGUGCCAGCAGCCGCGGUAAUACGGAGGAUGCGAGCGUUAUCCGGAUUUAUUGGGU